UUAAGUUUAAAUUGUGUCUCUCAGUGGAUUGGAUACAAGAAGAAAAGAUAUGUCGGCUAAACUCAAAGUUUAUCGUCAAGCAUGACAUCAGUCUAAUGACUAACGGCAUGACCUUUCAUGCCGAACGGGAAAAUUUUCCAGUGCACUUGGCGGGCAAUUGCUUAAACAACGUCUGUACUGAGGAUAGCAUUUGUAUUGGUGGUAAAUGUGUACAAGUUUUAAAAGAAAAAAUAUAUAAAGAUUGUUCAGACAUUGUGAAAAGAGACCCAG